AAAGGAAGAAGUGUGGGUAGAGUUAGUGCCCACAAGCGCUGGUGGGAGCCAGAGCCUGCAAAGUGGGAGCCUGUUUGCCUUUGCCUUCUGGGGUCUGGUGCGUGCUGUGUCUGCCCUUGAGGAACGGGGGCCUCUGGAGAGACAGGAGCCACUGCCAAGCCCCAGCCCAGGAGGGAAGGCAUCCAGACCUCGCUGCCUCUCACCCAGCCAAAGCUGGAGGCAGGGAGAGGUCCCUGGGGCCGCUCGAGGCCAGCCUCCCUAGCACAGGGCUGGAGCAGCCGGUGGACAGUUCGCCUUUUGCCUCUCAAAUCAUUUCCUAUCACUGAGUCCCCACCCCAUCCUCCCCACAGAUCCCACCCUCCCCCAAAAACCACCUCUGCGUUUAGGUGGCCCACCCAGCUACACUGAUUGGCUUGGGCUCGGUUAAUCCAAAGUAGACUCCAUUUCAGCCAAAACCAGGCAAACUCUGCAAACAAAAUUUAUAAAGAAAAAUUUAUAUAAAACCAAACAUGCAAUCCGUAUCGAAGAGAACUGGCUCGAGAUGACCCAUUUGCUUUGGGUCGUCUCACGGGUGCCUGCUCGUGUGGAAGACAAGGCUCUGAGUUCAUUAUUGUGCGUGUGCUUGGAAUUAGAAUUAAGGACUGUCACGUGGAGAUACAUGUCAAUAGACACACCCACACGGGAAAGGACCUGUAAAGGCAUACCCUUGGCUUUGCCAAGUUAGGAAUUAUCUUACUGGGCCCGGCUUCGGAGGCGGGACCGUCGGUGGGAAGGGAGGAGAAUCUUCCUGUUCAUCAUUGACUCAAGGCUCACGUGGCUUUUUCUCCUGCAAGCACCGAUGCUCUCUGUAACACCAACGUGUUUCUAAGACUGCUGACGGUCCAGGCAGCCCUGGGGGCAUGUGUCGCCUGGGACUCACUGCUCUCCAGGCCCCCUGGUUCUUUGUAAUGUGGACAGGCUUUCUCUAAGUGGCCAGGUGAGGAUGCAGGGUGGCACGGGGGAGAGGAACAGGCUACAGAGGGACUCGCACAGCCACAGCUCCCUUUUGGACUGACAGACCUGUUCUCCGCCCCCCCACCACCAAGGCCCCCCUAGCUCCCCAGGCCCUGGGGCAGCUGUAAGGAACACCUAGGUCCCUUCAUCACUCGUUCCAAACACCACCCCAGGGCCCGCCCUCCUUGCUGGAGGCCUGCCUGUUCUGGUUCAGCACCCCGUCCCUACCAGCCAGGGUCCCAGAAACCCCCUCUGGGUGGCCUCCCUGUGCAUGCCAGGCUGCCGUGGGACGAUGACAGGGAGGAAGAGGGAAGGGACAGGUUUCUGAUUCUUCUCCCCUAGAAACCCUGCCUGGGACCUUAGUGUCCAGAGGGAGGAAGAGAAGAGACUCCUGCCCCUGGGGAGCUUCCAGUCUGCUGGGGAGCACGGAGUGGGUGCAGACACACCCACACACCCACACCCACACCCACACACACCCCCACGAGAGCAGGUCCAAAAGAGAAACCCCGUAAAGGCCAGCCCAGACUCCUCCGCCCUGCAGAGUGACACACCUUGGUGACCGUGGAGCAAAGGCAGGGGUGGAGCCCAGAUAAAUGCAUUUGAGCUUGUAAACAUCAAACUUUCUAGAAAGAAACCGUGACGUGGAUUCUGGAGAGAUGCAUUUCCGAAGCUUCUGGGUGAUCCCCUCACCCUCCCCGGAGCUGCAGUAAGCCAGGACAAGGGCUUCCCAGAAGGGCCACCUCCCUCCCACACACAUAGCUGGGAGCCCAGCGAGCCUGAGAGGUGGGCAGGGUCCUGAGCUUCCUUCCGAGGCCCAGGUGUCUGUCAGGCAGGCCUGGCUCUCAGGCCUGGGAUGCACGGCGCUCCUCUCAGAAUCCCCUCUCCAGCUCAGCUCUGGGGCCUUCCAACCCUCACACCCUGUUCCUCCUGGUGCCGAGAAAGUCUGGUCCCCCUGGAGCCACCUGAGGCCACUCCCCAGCACUGCCUGGCCAGGACCCACGUCAUCCUCUGAGCCUGGACUCAGAGCUCCCGCGACUGAGAAGGUUCAACUGGGAGCUUGGUUUACCCACUUUCUGUACAGGCUGGUCCAGGCCUCCACCUGUCCGACAGUGAACCUGGGGUCGGAUCAAACAGAGGGGUGCUGAGCACAAGAAGGCUGAGAAGUGCCUUGUGGGAAACACAGGUAUGCGGGGGAAGCUUUGUUCUCACGUGAAGCCAGUUUAUCCGCGUCUUCGGAGCCCUGCCCCGUCGGUGGGGUCUGUGCUUAUUAGGGCUUAGGAGGAUGGGUGAACGAGAGCGCCUGAGGCCGGGCAUGUGUCCAGUCCUGUGUCAGCUCUAGGUGGGCGUGGGGGUCCCUACUGGCCCAGGGCCCUGCUGCAGAGCUGAGCGCUCAGCUUCCGGCCUACCAUGGGCCCAGCUCUGCGGCUCAUCCUCUGCAAACUGUGCAAAUUCUGCAGAGCGGCUGGGGGCUCCUCCAGCCCAGGCCCAGGCCCUUGGAGGAUGCCCAGGACAGAGCAGGGCGAUAGCGGAGGGAGGCUUGUGGCUGCAGACUGUCCCUCCCCUGCCUGUCCUCAGAGAACCCCCCCCACCGGCCCCCCGCUUGGCUCAGGUGUGAGUUACGAUGUUGUCGGCUCCGAGUUCAACAUGAAUGAAUCAAUGGAUUAAAGUGUCUUUAAACAGAAA